rnacentral:sRNA from 1 species
AAUUUUUUUGAUGAAUCACUCGAUCGCAAGAUGAGAGUAAAAGCUCGGGAGUGCGAUCUAGUGGUUUUGGGACAACAUCUUUCUUUACGACAAUGUCAAACUACUCGAUCGCAACAUGGAAGUGGUGUGAUCUAGUGGUCUCCUAGUGGAAUUUCUCAAACCACUCAAUCGCAAGGAGAAGUAAAAACACCCGACAGGACUUCAAUGACAACCCGCCUGAAGACAUGCCAUCCAGGUGCCACGACAUUGCCCCACCAAGGCAAUCCAACUAUAAACAGAGGGACCACACCGUUCCGCAAGUUCCCGCAAGGCACUCGUCUCAUGAGCCAAUGGAACACAAGAGGAGGAAGAGUGCUAGAACUAUACAUUCAUCAAGCAAAGGCCGGAUAUUGUCGGGCCGAAGAACACAUGAACGUCAUGCUCCACUACCUGCUGGGGUUGCGAUCGAGCACAAUGACGAGGAGAUGGCAGAGCCACAUCAAGAACCGGUCGUGCCUGCGGAGUACACUCCAGCAUAUAUGGAUGACUACAUCUCCAGGACAUUCUACUGAGUAACACACCCAAACCCUUUGUAAAUACCGCUUUUGUUUUUGUUUCUAUGUUUAUCUUGAAUUCUUUCACAAAUUUUGCUUACACAAGGGACUGUGUAAUUUAAGUUUGGGGGAGGGUUCACUACGUAUCUGACUUGUUUUUUU